rnacentral:tmRNA from 1 species
GGGGAUGUAAAGGCUUCGACGGGGACUGUCAACCAUGGUAAGCGAGUAGCGCCGCAGAACGCUUUAUUUCUUCAAAGAAAAAUAAAUGACAAAACUGAAAACGCUAACUAUAACUACAAUUAUGGGAUGGCGUACGCAGCCUAAUUAGACUGCCGUCUUUACCGGGAGUACCGCGGCCCGGAUAAAGGCGUCGAUUAGCGGUGAACGUGAACCGGGGAACGCCUUUACCCCGGUCACGGACGAAAGGCUACCAAGGCGCGAAGCCUGCCGAUUGGCGGCGUGCUGAGGGAAUUUUAAAUGAUCGGCUACACUCGUAGAAAGCCAUGGCAAGCAAUCUUCGGACACGAGUUCGACUCUCGUCAUCUCCACCA